AGCGAACGCUGGCGGCAGGCCUAACACAUGCAAGUCGAACGAACUCUUCGGAGUUAGUGGCGGACGGGUGAGUAACACGUGGGAACGUGCCUUUUGGUUCGGAAUAACUCAGGGAAACUUGUGCUAAUACCGAAUGUGCCCUUCGGGGGAAAGAUUUAUCGCCAUUAGAGCGGCCCGCGUCUGAUUAGCUAGUUGGUGAGGUAACGGCUCACCAAGGCGACGAUCAGUAGCUGGUCUGAGAGGAUGACCAGCCACACUGGGACUGAGACACGGCCCAGACUCCUACGGGAGGCAGGAGUGGGGAAUCUUGCGCAAUGGGCGAAAGCCUGACGCAGCCAUGCCGCGUGAAUGAUGAAGGUCUUAGGAUUGUAAAAUUCUUUUACCGGGGACGAUAAUGACGGUACCCGGAGAAGAAGCCCCGGCUAACUUCGUG
rnacentral:rRNA from 1 species